CUUGGCUCAGAAUCAACGCUGGCGGCGUGCCUAACACAUGGCAAGUCGAACGAGAAAGAGGGGGCAACUCCUUGAGUACAGUGGCGACCGGGUGAGUAACACGUGACUAACCUGCCCAGAAGCGGGGAAUAACCUCGGGAAACCGGGGCUAAUACCGCAUGAAGUCACGGGGUGGAAUUCCCUGUGACCAAAGGAGCAAUCCGCUUUUGGAGGGGGUCGCGGCUGAUUAGCUAGUUGGCGGGGUAACGGCCCACCAAGGCGAUGAUCAGUAUCCGGCCUGAGAGGGCGCACGGACACACUGGAACUGAAACACGGUCCAGACUCCUACGGGAGGCAGCAGUGGGGAAUUUUGCGCAAUGGGGGAAACCCUGACGCAGCAACGCCGCGUGGAGGAUGAAGGUCCUUGGAUUGUAAACUCCUUUCGACCAGGAAGAUGAUGACGGUACUGGAUGAAGAAGCACCGGCUAACUCUGUG
rnacentral:rRNA from 1 species